AUUGAACGCUGGCGGCAUGCCUUACACAUGCAAGUCGAACGGCAGCACGGGAGCAAUCCUGGUGGCGAGUGGCGAACGGGUGAGUAAUAUAUCGGAACGUGCCCAGUCGUGGGGGAUAACGUAGCGAAAGCUACGCUAAUACCGCAUACGAUCUAUGGAUGAAAGCGGGGGAUCGCAAGACCUCGCGCGAUUGGAGCGGCCGAUAUCAGAUUAGGUAGUUGGUGGGGUAAAAGCCCACCAAGCCGACGAUCUGUAGCUGGUCUGAGAGGACGACCAGCCACACUGGGACUGAGACACGGCCCAGACUCCUACGGGAGGCAGCAGUGGGGAAUUUUGGACAAUGGGCGCAAGCCUGAUCCAGCAAUGCCGCGUGCAGGAUGAAGGCC
rnacentral:rRNA from 1 species